rnacentral:rRNA from 1 species
AACGAACGCUGGCGGCAUGCCUAACACAUGCAAGUCGAACGAGACCUUCGGGUCUAGUGGCGCACGGGUGCGUAACGCGUGGGAACCUGCCCUUAGGUUCGGAAUAACUCCCCGAAAGGGGUGCUAAUACCGGAUAAUGUCUUCGGACCAAAGAUUUAUCGCCUUUGGAUGGGCCCGCGUUGGAUUAGCUAGUUGGUAGGGUAAAAGCCUACCAAGGCGACGAUCCAUAGCUGGUCUGAGAGGAUGAUCAGCCACACUGGGACUGAGACACGGCCCAGACUCCUACGGGAGGAAGCAGUGGGGAAUAUUGGACAAGGGGGGAAAGCCUGAUCCAGCAAUGCCGGGUGAGUGAUGAAGGCCUUAGGGUUGUAAAGCUCUUUUACCCGGGAUGAUAAUGACAGUACCGGGAGAAUAAGCUCCGGCUAACUCCGUG